CCUCAUCCUCUGAGACGAUCAUCACCAUGUUCGCUGUGAAAGCAGUUUGCCUCCUCGCCACCGUUGCUCUGCUUAUUGCAAUGGUGCCUGAGGGAGCUCCGAAUAAGAGAGGCUGCAUACGUGGCAGUUUUGCCUCGCUCUUCUGUCACUAACCAUAAAGAUGAAGAGACGUCAAGCAUCUACUAAAGAGACUCUAAUUACUAAAAACAUUCUGUAGUCAAUUUUAAUAAAGUAGUCAUGCAUACCUA